GGUGUCUUUGGAACUGUUUGGAGGAGAAAGGAGAGAUCAACUCCGCAAACACUGAGACGACAGGCUUGCCAAGGCUUCCCUGCCCCCUUCUAGGAACUGGGGACAGUUUAGUCCUGAGGCCACCACAAGACCAGUCUCCCUCAUUUUUACUUCCUCCUGUGGUUCCUGGAGGGACACACGAAGUCCCUCUAGAGUUUUCCUACACUGUCCUACUUUCCCACUUCCAGAACCAGGGCGGAGACCCCUGGACUGUAACCCAAUUACCUGAAAGAUCCCCAAGGAACACAUGUUGAUUAGCAGUUGCACAAUAAACAAAGCGGGAAGACGCGGAACCCCACUGUUUCAUGUGAUGAAACAGGUGUAUACACGACAGUUCUAAUACUUUGCAUUGUUUAAGAAGACAUGCUCAAAUGGAUCCAUCACACAGCAGCUUAUAAAGAACAAAGAAGAGAGAACCUCAGAACUCAAACUACGGCUUUCUAAGCUUGUCCUUCUUUCUCACUGACAACUCCUCGGACUCUGGAAUCACUGCCUCUAUCUGCCAGCCUCUGUCUCUGUUGCCCUAAGGAUACAAGAACUAAGGAUUCCUGUUUCCGGAGGAAGGUUCUUCCCACCUUGUUUCUGGAACACGGAUGAGAUGACUGGAGUGCUAACGACCAUCUUGUGGCGAUGAGGAAAAACUCACGCUUUUCUGCAUGGAUGGCAGAAAGGAGAUUGAGGAUGACCUUGAGUUCACAAUGACAUCAAUUACUUCUUGUGGUUUUUAAAUGCAGUUUUCCAACAUCAAAGGGCCCAGGGUUCCAUUUUUUGAAGCUGAAAAGAGACCUGGAGAGGACGGUGGCGGUGGUGGACAUUGGCGUGGAUGUCGUUAACGCCGCCGACCGUGUGCUUAAAAA